UGCAAGUCGAGCGGAUGAAGUGAGCUUGCUCACGGAUUCAGCGGCGGACGGGUGAGUAAUGCCUAGGAAUCUGCCUGGUAGUGGGGGAUAACGUUUCGAAAGGGGCGCUAAUACCGCAUACGUCCUACGGGAGAAAGCAGGGGACCUUCGGGCCUUGCGCUAUCAGAUGAGCCUAGGUCGGAUUAGCUAGUUGGUGAGGUAAUGGCUCACCAAGGCGACGAUCCGUAACUGGUCUGAGAGGAUGAUCAGUCACACUGGAACUGAGACACGGUCCAGACUCCUACGGGAGGCAGCAGUGGGGAAUAUUGGACAAUGGGCGAAAGCCUGAUCCAGCCAUGCCGCGUGUGUGAAGAAGGUCUUCGGAUUGUAAAGCACUUUAAGUUGGGAGGAAGGGCAGUAAGCUAAUAUCUUGCUGUUUUGACGUUACCGACAGAAUAAGCACCGGCUAACUCUGUGCCAGCAG
rnacentral:rRNA from 1 species